CAAUAUUUCUAUUAUAGUCAUUUCGAAUUUCAAAUCCCAUGAAUUUCAAGUUUUUACAAGAAUUAAUACAAUUUAAAGCCAACGCAAAUCUUAAUUAAUUAUUCUGUUGCGUUCGAAUACAAAUCAGAAGUGACGUACACGAAACCCGAUGAAAAUGUUGACUUUCCCGAUCGUAAUAAAAACGGUAUCAAAUUCGAAAGUGAAUUUGCCGAUACUGUUAAAGAAACUGACCUAAUUCAGGAUAAUGGAUCGGGAAAUUAUGGAGAUCUUAUUUACAGAUAUAGGGAGAACGGAGAUCAGUUACUUGUCAGGGAAGUUGUCAUCGUUCAAGCUUUAUCUUCUGGUACUCAAGAUAUCCAUUGGUCAGUUUCUAUUUCCGGAGGCCGAGUUUCUUCUGUAAGAGUGCUCAAUUUUGGUAGAGAACGAGCUUAUUGUUUAAGAAUCGAUGUAGCUGGUGGAGAUGUGCAGACUGUUUUAAGAGUAGGACCGUAUCAAGAUCCGAGAGUAAUGAUCGAGAUUUAUGGUUAUUGAUUUAAAAAUAAAAAUCUAUGAAAACUUAUCAAUAAAAAUUAAUU